AAAAGGCAAGAUAGCUCCUUAACAGCGUUCCCGAGUACCACGGGGCACGUGAAACCCCGUGGGAAACCGGGUGGACCAUCACCCAAGGCUAAAUACUCCUCUUCGACCGAUAGUGAACCAGUACCGUGAGGGAAAGGUGAAAAGCACCCCUGUUAGGGGAGUGAAAUAGUACCUGAAACCGUGCAUCUACAAGCAGUGGAAGCACUAUGGCCCCGCAAGGGAGUCCAGUGCGACCGCGUGCCUUUUGCAUAAUGAGCCGGCUAGUUAUUGUCACUGGCGAGGCGAAGCGACGUGCUGAGCCGUAGCGAAAGCGAGUCUGAAUAGGGCGACUCAGUCAGUGGUAAUAGACGCGAAGCGGGAUGAUCUACCCAUGGCCAGGGGGAAGCUGCGGUAACACGCAGUGGACGCCCG
rnacentral:rRNA from 1 species